rnacentral:rRNA from 1 species
GAUGAACGCUAGCUACAGGCUUAACACAUGCAAGUCGAGGGGAAACGACAUCGAAAGCUUGCUUUUGAUGGGCGUCGACCGGCGCACGGGUGAGUAACGCGUAUCCAACCUGCCCACCACUUGGGGAUAACUUUGCGAAAGUAAGACUAAUACCCAAUGACGUCUCUAGAAGACAUCUGAAAGAGAUUAAAGAUUUAUCGGUGAUGGAUGGGGAUGCGUCUGAUUAGCUUGUUGGCGGGGUAACGGCCCACCAAGGCGACGAUCAGUAGGGGUUCUGAGAGGAAGGUCCCCCACAUUGGAACUGAGACACGGUCCAAACUCCUACGGGAGGCAGCAGUGAGGAAUAUUGGUCAAUGGACGAGAGUCUGAACCAGCCAAGUAGCGUGCAGGAUGACGGCCCUAUGGGUUGUAAACUGCUUUUAUAAGGGAAUAAAGUGAGAGUCGUGACUCUUUUUGCAUGUACCUUAUGAAUAAGGACCGGCUAAUUCCGUGCCAGCAGCCGCCGUAA